rnacentral:rRNA from 1 species
CAGUCGCCGCGGUAAUACGAAGGGUGCAAGCGUUACUCGGAAUUACUGGGCGUAAAGCGUGCGUAGGUGGUGGUUUAAGUCCGUUGUGAAAGCCCUGGGCUCAACCUGGGAAUUGCAGUGGAUACUGGGUCGCUAGAGUGUGGUAGAGGAUAGUGGAAUUUCCGGUGUAGCAGUGAAAUGCGUAGAGAUCGGAAGGAACAUCUGUGGCGAAGGCGACUAUCUGGGCCAACACUGACACUGAGGCACGAAAGCGUGGGGAGCAAACAGGAUUAGAUACCCCGGUAGUCCCUGUCUCUUAUAC